GGACAUACCAAACAACUGCUAUGGAAUAUGUUAAAGCAGAAAACGACCCAUAGAGGACAGAAAAGCCACAGUUUCGGUGCAUCAGAACAUUCCAGAAAGUAAAACCGGCCGCCAUUUUCCCACCAUAUUUUGCCGUUGUUGUGUCUGCCUGCUGCCCGGCCUUCACCCUCCCUCACAAAUCAGUUUUUUGCCUGAAUGGAAAUAAGGUUACCGAAUCUCCCAGGUUUCCCCCUCGCCUGAAUGUCACCUGCUGUACAUGUCCGC